GCAUUGGUGGUUCAGUGGUAGAAUCCUCGCCUGCCAUGCGGGGGGCCCGGGUUCGAUUCCCGGCCAAUGCA
rfam:Ciona savignyi cont_33097, whole genome shotgun sequence.